AAAUUUUCCAUAGCAAACUGCUCAGUAACACAUGAUCAACUUGCCCUAUAGAGAAAAAUAACCUCGGGAAACUGAGGAUAAUGUUUCAUAGUUGAAAAGGCUUGGAAAAGUUUUUCAAUCAAAGGGAUAAAAAAAAUGGUUUUUAUCUGCUGUAGGAUAGGAUCGUGCUCGAUUAUGGUUGUUGGUGAGGUAAUGGCUCACCAAGCCGAUAAUCGAUAGGGGCCGUGAGAGCGGGAGCCCCGAGAUGGGUACUGAGACAGCGACCCAGGUCUUACGAGACGCAGCAGGCGCGAAACCUCCGCAAUACACGAAAGUGUGACGGGGUUACCCAAAGUGUUCAAUUUUGAACUGUGGUAGGUGAGUAAUGUCCCCUACUAGAAAGGAGAGGGCAAGGCUGGUGCCAGCCGCCGCGGUAAAACCAGCUCUUCAAGUGGUCGGGAUAAUUAUUGGGCUUAAAGUGUCCGUAGCCGGUUUAGUAAGUUCCUGGUAAAAUCGGGUAGCUUAACUAUCUGUAUGCUAGGAAUACUGCUAUACUAGAGGGCGGGAGAGGUCUGAGGUACUACAGGGGUAGGGGUGAAAUCUUAUAAUCCUUGUAGGACCACCAGUGGCGAAGGCGUCAGACUGGAACGUGCCUGACGGUGAGGGACGAAAGCCAGGGGAGCGAACCGGAUUAGAUACCCGGGUAGUCCUGGCCGUAAACGAUGCAUACUAGGUGAUGGCAUGGCCAUGAGCCGUGUCAGUGCCGUAGGGAAACCGUUAAGUGUGCCGCCUGGGAAGUACGGUCGCAAGGCUAAAA
rnacentral:rRNA from 1 species